rnacentral:rRNA from 1 species
GAAACGACUGCUAAGACUGGAUAGGAAAUAGAAGGAUAACCUUUUAUUUUUAAAAGACCUUCUUCGGAAGGUAUGCUUAAAGAGGGGCUUGCGCCACACUAGUUAGUUGGUAGGGUAAAAGCCUACCAAGACUAUGAUGUGUAGCUGGACUGAGAGGUUGAACAGCCACAUUGGGACUGAGACACGGCCCAAACUCCUACGGGAGGCAGCAGUAGGGAAUUUUCGGCAAUGGAGGAAACUCUGACCGAGCAACGCCGCGUGAACGAAGAAGUAUUUAGGUAUGUAAAGUUCUUUUAUUGAAGAAGAAAAAAUAGCGGAAAAACUAUCUUGACGCUAUUCAAUGAAUAAGCCCCGGCUAACUAUGUGCCAGCAGCCGCGGUAAGACAUAGGGGGCGAGCGUUAUCCGGAAUUAUUGGGCGUAAAGGGUGCGUAGGCGGUUAGAUAAGUCUAUAAUUUAAUUUCAGUGCUUAACGCUGUUCUGUUAUAGAAACUGUCUAGCUAGAGUGAGAUAGAGGCAAGUGGAAUUCCAUGUGUAGCGGUAAAAUGUGUAAAUAUAUGGAGGAACACCAGAAGCGUAGGCGGCUUGCUGGGUCUUUACUGACGCUGAGGCACGAAAGCGUGGGUAGCAAACAGGAUUAGAUACCCUGGUAGUCCACGCCGUAAACGAUGAGUACUAAGUGUCGGGGUUAAACUCGGUACUGAAGUUAACACAUUAAGUACUCCGCCUGAGUAGUACGUACGCAAGUAUGAAACUUAAAGGAAUUGACGGGACUCCGCACAAGCGGUAGAUCAUGUUGUUUAAUUCGAAGAUACACGAAAAACCUUACCAGGUCUUGACAUACUCUGCAAAGCUAUAGAAAUAUAGUGGAGGUUAUCAGGGAUACAGGUGGUGCAUGGUUGUCGUCAGCUCGUGUCGUGAGAUGUUAGGUUAAGUCCUAAAACGAGCGCAACCCUUGUCGUUAAUUGCCAGCACGUUAUGGUGGGGACUUUAGCGAGACUGCCAAUUAAAAAUUGGAGGAAGGUGAGGAUUACGUCAAAUCAUCAUGCCCCUUAUGAUCUGGGCUACAAACGUGAUACAAUGGCUGUUACAAAGAGUAGCUGAAAUGCGAGUUUUUAGCCAAUCUCAAAAAAGCAGUCUCAGUUCGGAUUGAAGUCUGCAACUCGACUUCAUGAAGUUGGAAUCGCUAGUAAUCGCGAAUCAGCAUGUCGCGGUGAAUACGUUCUCGGGGUUUGUACACACGGCCCGUCA